GACGAAAUCAUUAAAACUACGAAAACAACUAUUACUGCAACCUCCACUUGUAAAGAUGAACUUUACGUUAAGCAACCCGCCAAGUUUUUUUAACAUACAAUAAAACGUGGUUGAGGUGCUCCGCAAGUUUGAAUUUUACUAGACUAUUUUUAAACAACGGUAUUACGCGAGCUGCGCAUUUUUCGUUUGGUUGGAAACUACGUGCUGCUAAAAGCAUCUUUAUAAUUAAACAUGUCUCAAUUACUCAAGUACACAACACUUCCAUACUUAGCAUGUCACUUCCUUGGUCUCCCAGGCACCCGGCAAUGGCACGCAAAUGUUUCAAUUAUGGUAUAAGCUGCUCGUGUUUUCGACUUGCAGCCCAUAGCGUUCUUUCUGCAAACGGGGAAGAAGCUGCUUGAAAUGUAUUAGCCUUAUCAGGCCUCGUGCUUUUAGCUUUAUUGAAUAGAAGCCAUCUAUACGGUAAUAUUGUUCGUUUUAAUCUACUUCCACUUUCGCUGCUCACUAAAAAAAGGGGAGUCCAC